GCAAGUCGAGCGGUAACAUUUCACAGUUUGCUUUGAAGAUGACGAGCGGCGGACGGGUGAGUAAUGCUUGGGAAUAUGCCUUAUGGUGGGGGACAACAGUUGGAAACGACUUCUAAUACCGCAUAAUGUCUACGGACCAAAGGGGGGGAUCUUCGGACCUCUCGCCAUUUGAUUAGCCCGAGUGAGAUUAGCUAGUAGGUGAGGUAAAGGCUCACCUAGGCGACGAUCUCUAGCUGGUUUGAGAGGAUGAUC
rnacentral:rRNA from 1 species